rnacentral:rRNA from 1 species
UACGAAGGGGGCGAGCGUUGUUCGGAAUUACUGGGCGUAAAGGGCGCGUAGGCGGCGACCCAAGUCAGAUGUGAAAGUCCUGGGCUUAACCUGGGGACUGCAUUUGAUACUGGGUUGCUUGAAUUCGGGAGAGGAUAGCGGAAUUCCCAGUGUAGAGGUGAAAUUCGUAGAUAUUCGCAAGAACACCAGUGGCGAAGGCGGCUUACUGGUCCGGUUCUGACGCUGAGGCGCGAAACGUGGGGAGCAAACAGG